rnacentral:rRNA from 1 species
CAAGGGAAUGCCUUACUAGCGGCGAGUGAAGCGGCAAAGCUCAUAUUUCAAAUCUGGCUCUUUCAGAGUCCGAGUUGUAAUUUGAAGAAGGUAUCUUUGGGUCUGGUUCUUGAUCUAUGUUUCUUGGAACAGAACGUCACAGAGGGUGAGAAUCCCGUGCGAUGAGAUGAUCCAGGCCUAUGUAAAGUUCCUUCGAAGAGUCGAGUUGUUUGGGAAUGCAGCUCUAAGUGGGUGGUAAAUUCCAUCUAAAGCUAAAUAUUGGCGAGAGACCGAUAGCGAACAAGUACAGUGAUGGAAAGAUGAAAAGAACUUUGAAAAGAGAGUGAAAAAGUACGUGAAAUUGUUGAAAGGGAAGGGCUUGAGAUCAGACUUGGUAUUUUGUAUGUUACUUCUUCGGGGGUGGCCUCUACAGUUUAUCGGGCCAGCAUCAGUUUGGGCGGUAGGAGAAUUGCGUUGGAAUGUGGCACGGCUUCGGUUGUGUGUUAUAGCCUUCGUCGAUACUGCCAGCCUAGACUGAGGACUGCGGUUUAUACCUAGGAUGUUGGCAUAAUGAUCUUAAGUCGCCCGUCUUGAACAACGGACCAAA